GACGAACGCUGGCGGCGUGCUUAACACAUGCAAGUCGAACGAUGAACCACUUCGGUGGGGAUUAGUGGCGAACGGGUGAGUAACACGUGGGCAAGCUGCCCUUCACUCUGGGACAAGCCCUGGAAACGGGGUCUAAUACCGGAUAACACUGCCAUGGGCAUCUGUGGUGGUUAAAAGCUCCGGCGGUGAAGGAUGAGCCCGCGGCCUAUCAGCUUGUUGGUGAGGUAAUGGCUCACCAAGGCGACGACGGGUAGCCGGCCUGAGAGGGCGACCGGCCACACUGGGACUGAGACACGGCCCAGACUCCUACGGGAGGCAGCAGUGGGGAAUCUUGGUCAAUGGGCGCAAGCCUGAACCAGCGAUGCCGCGUGAGUGAUGAAGGCCUCGG
rnacentral:rRNA from 1 species